GUUUCUAGACUGUGCUUCCGUGGCAUUGCUGCUGUUGGUACCUCAGCUAGGUAGCUCAAAGUUAGAGUGGGUGAGUGUCCCUAUAUUGUAGUGACACCUCUGAUUUCAGAGUAGACAUAUCCUGAGCUUGGGAGAAUUGUUAAAGUUCAUCCCAGGACUGUUGGUAUCAGAGGCCUGACUCCUGAGGGGGACAUUCAGAGACCAGCGAGAGCACGGCAGUGCACGCAAUCCUCAUCCUUGACUUCUAUCAUAGAACCCUUUUCUUGCAUUUUUUUUUUCAUUUUCAUAGGCAGAGUGUCAGCCCAUCCUCUUCUCUUUCUCUCCUGCCUGAAUCAUGUGAAUGAGACAAACCUGGAGAGGUGCUUAGCACCAGCAGGUACCAUUGUCUUCACCGGGCUUGGCACACAAACAAUUUGUGUCUGUCCUUUUGACAAUUAUUGUUAAGUCUGAUGGAAGUGGCCUGCAGAAGUCAGCUGCUGAUCAGAGCCAAACCAGAAGGUGUCCGUUAAGUGUCCUAAGAUAUUUUGUACAGACCACUGUGACCUAAUGUGUCCUACACAAUCUGAGAUGGCACAAGAUUUUUGGCACAGAGACAGUGGCAUUUUUCAUAGAGUUGUAAGAAUCACAACAUCCAGACUGUGGUUGGUUAAUUGAAAUCUUCCCCAGAAGCUGGGGUCAUCUUCUGAUUGGCUCAAAGCAGUUUUACAAAAUCUAUAAAACAGGGAGUUUGGGUCAAAGCAUCACUCUGUGAAGCUAAAACAUCAGGACAAGAGACAGCGAGCUGGACUGUCAUCACUUGGUUGCUGGGAGCGCUUCCUCUGUGUGACACCGAGUUCCUGGUCCAGCUUCAGCGAUGAAGAUCCUUUACCUGCUCUUCUCUGUUGUCUUCUUGGUGCUCAUGAAUGCUCCAGGAUUCUCCUGGGCCAUAGUGACCCCUGGGGGAUGUAAACACCGAGGGGGCUUUUGCUUCUUUUGGCGAUGUCCCACCCCAUCUGAGUACUUUGACAAGUGCAUUCCAUAUGGCCACUGCUGUCGCAAGAAGUAGUUUGACAGAUAGCCACUUGCUUCUAAAAUCACCAGGUGGAUGAAUCACCUCAGUGGAACCUUGAAGUGCCAUUCAUUUCAGCUGGAAAUAAGAAAUUCCAGAAAGGAGCCCUUGUAUCACCCAUAAAUGAUUUGUUAUUCUCCUUUUAAUAAAAGCAAGCAGGUGUGAGAUAAUCAUGCCAAAGUGUGUGUGUGUUGGCGGGAGACAAGGGGACUGCUUCUAUCAUAGGGGGAGAGGAAGAGAGAGAGAGAGAAAGAGAGAGAGAGAGAGAGAGAAACUUCUGUCUAAAACACACAGCAUGGUCUAAAAUGCUUUCAGCAUUUUUUUGAGAGAUCAUUUUGGAAAUGAAACUUUCUCAGCCUGCAGGGCUUUGUUGCAGAAUAUCUAGGAUAAAUUUUAAUGCUCUCUAUCGUUUCUAAAGUCACAUAUUAUUUCUCCACCACAAGUUAGUGUUUCGUAUACUAUGUCUUUAUUAUGAAUUUCUAGGCAUGUAGCACAUACUAUGCAAGAAACUGGUAAAAGAUAAAAUUGCUUUACAAUUAAAGGGGAAUUUGUGGUUAGCUUAAUUAGCAACUGUUGCUUACACAACCCAACUCCUCGGUGAAGCACAUUUGCAUCAUCUGCUAUCUGGGAUGUCAGAAGGAGUUUGGCCUAAGCUAUGAAAGGUUCCACGAGGCGUACAGGUAGUUCGGAAUAGGAAGCCUA